GUGGGGAAUAUUGGACAAUGGGCGAAAGCCUGAUCCAGCCAUGCCGCGUGUGUGAAGAAGGUCUUCGGAUUGUAAAGCACUUUAAGUUGGGAGGAAGGGCAGUAAGUUAAUACCUUGCUGUUUUGACGUUACCGACAGAAUAAGCACCGGCUAACUUCGUGCCAGCAGCCGCGGUAAUACGAAGGGUGCAAGCGUUAAUCGGAAUUACUGGGCGUAAAGCGCGCGCAGGUGGUUUUGUAAGUUGGAGGUGAAAUCCCCGGGCUCAACCUGGGAACUGCCUCCAAAACUGCAUGACUAGAGUACGGUAGAGGGUAGUGGAAUUUCCUGUGUAGCGGUGAAAUGCGUAGAUAUAGGAAGGAACACCAGUGGCGAAGGCGACUACCUGGACUGAUACUGACACUGAGGUGCGAAAGCGUGGGGAGCAAACAGGAUUAGAUACCCCAGUAGUCC
rnacentral:rRNA from 1 species